UACAGAGGGGGCAAGCGUUGUUCGGAAUUACUGGGCGUAAAGGGCGCGUAGGCGGCCUGCUAAGUCGAACGUGAAAUCCCUGGGCUCAACCCAGGAACUGCGUCCGAUACUGGUUGGCUUGAAUCCGGGAGAGGGACGUGGAAUUCCAGGUGUAGCGGUGAAAUGCGCAGAUAUCAGGAGGAACACCGGUGGCGAAGGCGGAUCUCUGGGCCUUACCUGACGCUGAGGCGCGAAAGCUAGGGGAGCGAACAGG
rnacentral:rRNA from 1 species